UGUUUGGGGGAAUCCUCACAAGGAUCUCUCUCAGCAUGUCUAUAAAUGUUAACCUUAAAAAUAGCUAGUUAUAUUUUACUAGCAAAAUGAGUUUAUCAGGAAUAGCAGAGAAAUUGCAAUUCUGAACAUUCAAGGUCAGUUUCUAUUAGUUUUCAGGAGGUUAUUGGGAAGCGUUGUUUUAAACAAAAAUUCAUUGGAGAAGGAUAAGAUUUCAAAAUUGUGCAGUUUCUCAUUGGUUGCACAUGGUAGUUAGGGUAUUGUUGCUGGGGCAGGGAGGGAUCUUCCUUCUUUCUCUUAAAAACAGAAGAUGAAAUUCCUGCGUUUCAAUGUGCAAAAUGUCCUCUCUUGUUGAGGUUCUUCCUCCUUCUCUCUCACAGCCUGUGAGGCCAGGUCUGCUGAUUUUCAGUAACUGGUUCUGCCUCCACAUCACCCCUGCCCUUGCAGGAUCUUCCUCAUUUCUUAUGGCCACCUGCCUCCUGAUAAUUCUUGCUGGGACUUGGGACUCUAGACUCUGUGUGGCUCAGCUCUGUUCUACCUCCUCCUCUCCACCUGGCCCAACCACUGCUCCGCCAGGCCUUCCUCCUCUGCCCAAUGUUGUUAUGGCAACCGACAGUCAGUGGGCCCGGGAGACACCAUGCUGAGCCAAAACUGGCAGGAAGAGACACUGAGCAGCAUCUGCGGGGGUUGAUAAGGCCAAAGUGUUGAGUUGGUCCCCUCUGGCAAGAAAAGAGAGAAAGAGAAAUAUCGAGAUCAUAUUGGCUCUGGUAGAUCUACCAGGAAUGUUUUCUGACCUGAUGGAAUGGCUGGAAGGCCCUGUUUACAGGUCCUGGUUGAGUUACAUACGACUUUCUUCUUUGUGUGCCUGAAUCCAGCCUUUUGAAUCGACAUCUCAACAUCUCCAUCUUUAUAACCAUUAGAAGAAAGGGAAAAAAGAAAAUGGUUUUAGGUUCUGGAUGGCAAAGUUUAGAAGAAAAUACUGUUUGCUUUAUUUAGUACAACAUAUUCCUUUAUCCUGGCUGUAUCCAAAUUAUUAGCUCUGAUUAUUGUAGAGAGAGGUGAAUGAUCAAUUUUUACUUUAAAAUGCACAUGCUCAGAUUUUAA